UUUCUUAGGUCAAAAGUAGGCCUUUUUUCGUAGUGAUACGAAAUUUACACAACACUGUAUGCUAGAAACUCUAUUUAUUUUUAGGUAUUAUAAAUAGACAAUUAGCAGGAAACUUUAGAGUAAAUAUGUAUAAAUAUUUAAAUUCGGAGGAUCCUCAGAGACUAUACGUGUUGCAACUUUAAAGUUGAAGAAAUAGUCCAAUUAACAUAGUGAUAUGUUA
rnacentral:ncRNA from 1 species